rnacentral:lncRNA from 1 species
CUGGAGGAAAUUGCUUGCGAGGGUGGAGGCACACGAUAUGUCCGUUAACCAAGUCCUGUCAUCAUUGAUCAACGGUGACGAUCGCUUUGAGAUUCAGCAUCAACGGUCGUGGAGGCCGAGUCUACAGAGUAUACCGGAAGUGGACAAUACAGGAUAGAUGUGGUGAUUAUCAUGGUGGCUUCUUGUUUGAGUCAUUGAGUUGUCGUACUAAAAUAAAGUCAGGUUUAUUUUUUGGAGUAUUAUUGUUGUUGCAGUGUAAAGACGUUUGUAAUUACAUUUGUUAUCACAGAAAUUCUACAUGUUAUCGGUUUUUUAUUACUGUUUACGUCACUACCUAG